GCUUAUGGCCACACCGCCUGGUUCACGGCUGAUCUCGUUUGAUCUCGGAAGCCAAGAUAGGUCGGGCCUGGUUAGUACUUGGAUGGGAGACCGCCUGGGAAUACCAGGUGCUGUAAGCU
ensembl:rRNA 5S_rRNA 5S ribosomal RNA